GUUCGGGGGCAGGGGUCUCGCGGCCGCCAGGCUUGUCCGCGGGGCCUGGGAGCUCCGAGCCCAGCCCACGGCCCGCCCCUCGAGGCGCGGCUGUCCCUCCUGGGGCCAGCUUGCCGGGGGCUGCCCUGAGUCCGGGCGGCAAAGUCUAACUUUAGAACCCGCGGCUGAGGAGGACAGCGAACGCGCGCCCGUCAGCUCACAGGGCGCGUGCGCGGCUCAUGUAGCGGAACUAAAGAGCCGCCUGUAAACCGGAAGUUGGUGUGGUUGUCUAGGCGACCGGACGCCGUUCUCGGGCCUCCGGGUCACAAUCCGCUGAGCUCACGGAGGCCGGGAGACGGGCGCCCCGUGGCGGAGCCAGCUGGACCUACAGCCCGGCGCUGGGCAACCAGGAGAAUCACAAAGUCCAAGAGAUGAACUGAAAGCCCUGUGCUGUGUUCUGUUCUUGGAAAUCAAAACACACAAGAGUCAUUAGCAUUCUUUGACUCAGCCUAGAUAAGGCAAAGAAAAUCCACGGGACCAUAAUACGUAAGCGGUUUUAGCAAAAACACGCUCUAGCGAGAAAAGAGAGCAACUGGAGGCUUGAGGCUAGCACCUCAAGGUCAGUUCACACUCCCACCACUGCCAAUGCCUCUGUGGGUUCUCAGUGACCAUCACCUUGAAACUCCAGAGAGCAGGGGUGGGGAACAUCCAGCCUGAGGCCACAGAAGGGCCCCUGCAUCAUGCCGUCCGCCCUGCAAGGCAACCACAGACAGGACUGACUUCCAUAAAAACAGACUAAGCUGAUAA